rnacentral:rRNA from 1 species
UACGUAGGUCGCAAGCGUUGUCCGGAAUCAUUGGGCGUAAAGCGCGUGUAGGCGGUCCGGUAAGUCCGCUGUGAAAGUCGGGGGCUCAACCCUCGGAUGCCGGUGGAUACUGUCGGGCUUGAGUACGGAAGAGGCGAGUGGAAUUCCUGGUGUAGCGGUGAAAUGCGCAGAUAUCAGGAGGAACACCAAUUGCGAAGGCAGCUCGCUGGGACGUUACUGACGCUGAGACGCGAAAGCGUGGGGAGCAAACAGG